AAUAAGUCUCUCUCGUUCUGCGUGCCUCAUCUUCUCCACCCCACCCAUCCUUCUUCAACAUUCAAGCCCUAGCCUCCGCCCCUUUCACCGUGCACCUCCAGCCACCGCGAAUCCCACAAUUGACGCAGCCCCUGCACGACCACGAUCGCCCGGACGAACCCUUCUCCACUUCGCAUCUCCAUCCAUCAGCCGUAGCCGUAGCCGCAUCGUUCUACCGUUCCAAAGCCAUGCCGUUCAAUUUCCUUCAGUCGUUCGUGCAGCGUGCUUCACCCGUGCCGAAGUUGAUCGUGUGCAUUUCCGUCAGCUUCGAGCCUCAGUCGCGUCUCCUAGGGUGAGCUGUCGUUGACGUCAGAGCCGCGUCCCUUCAUCGAGUCGCGUGAGCCGUCUUCGUUGGUCCGAGUCGCAUGAGCCGUCUUCGUUGAACCGAGCCAUUCCGUGUAAGCUGUAUGCGAGCCACGCGCAAUUGGGCCGUUCCUGUGUGAGCCGUACGCGAGCCGUUAGUCUCAAGACCCGAGCCGAAUCCUUGCUAGCCGAGCCACCUUCAGUUUCAGCCGUCUGCAACAUAUUUAAGCCUUUGGUAAGGGUAGAGGCAAGGGCAAACGAGCGAAAGUGACCGUGGAUCACCAUAGGGAACAGUUGAGUUUUCUUUCGCAUUUAUAUUUUAGUAGUUAUAUUUUCAUUUAAAUUUUCAGGUAAGGGUAGAGGCAAGGGCAAACGAGCGAAAGUGACCGUGGAUCACCAUAGGGAACAGUUGAGUUUUCUUUCGCAUUUAUAUUUUAGUAGUUAUAUUUUCAUAGGUUUAUUUCAGAACUCCGGUUCAAUUACUUUAAGUAUUCCUUCUAUUUUAUGGGCCCAAAUUGUAUUUUGAUUAGUUAUUUUAAUUAAUUAAUUAUUUUUAUUAUUUAAAGUUUUUCCUCAAAUUUUAAUUUAUUUUCUUGUAAAAAAAAAAAUAUUUAUUUAAAUAGUCAUGACCCCAAGUUUCUAGAAAAGUUGGGUUGUUACCGAGGGUAUCAUAUGCAAUGAGUUUGUAUAAGACAAGACUACAAAAUAGUAACAACUAGAUGUAACUCCAUUAACUUAGUCUUAA